GAGCGUCCGGGACAAGCGCUCUCUUUCGAACCUUUGGCAUCUUCAGGGAUGGACUCCUACAACUGAGGGAGACUGAGGGAGACUGAGGGAGACUGAGGGAGACUGAGGUCUUGGGCGUGAGCAAGAGAGGAAGAGCGUGCUGGAAUCGACCAGCUGCAAACCUUCUCAGAGAGGUGAUGUCAACUUCUUGGUUUUCACCUUAGGUCUUGUUCCUCCAAGCCGGGGUGCCUUUCCCUCCUUUAUGCUCCCGAGGGAUGCUCUGUGUUGUAACCUUCCGCAGGGCUCCCGCGCUCCACACCUCUCCCAGUUGUGGUUUACACCCCACUGACCUCUCUCAUCAGACCCGCGUCUCCAUCACCAGAACCCUCAGAUAACUUUUCUCAGUGCGUCUGAAAAUUCGGGGAAAGGCUCUCAAGCAGCUUACCGAACACACCACCACCAGCACCCCUCACAAACUGAGCCCAGAACAUUCCUGAAGAAAGGAUGCUGCUGGUCUCCCAGACCUUCCUGUUCAAAACCAUAAGUUGAAAACACUCUGUAAUGUGCUGCAAAAUUAAUCUACCUACGGCUCUGCUGGCACACCCAGAUGUCCUGAAACUUUCCCGAGUGUGUUCUGAGCAGCCACUUGGAAUCAGUCAGAGUCCGCCUACCAUGUGAGACCUGUCUGCCUCACCUGUAAUUGGGAUGAAGCCUCCUUAUACCAGACAAGCACCCCUAAUUUCCCCUUGUCCUUUAUAUUGCAGUUGGCCAUAAAGAAUCGCUGUGACCGAGCCUUGUAUGGUCACUGUCCUCAUUCCAAAGAUACAUGCCCAGGGGAAGGAAUGUGGCACAGCAGGGCCCAGCCAGUCUGUUCAGUGACAUCUCCAUAAGAAACCUCAAGGUGAUGGAUUGAGGGAGCUUCCAGACAGCUGACCUCAGGAAGGUUCCUGGAGGUGACAUCUGAAGAGCUCAUGCAAGCUCUAUAUCUAACCCACGUGAGUGAGUGCUUCCCUGAAUUCUCGGAGUCCCUCGAACAAAUGAAUCAAAGCCAAAGGGCUUAUGGGGAACCACGAUUCAUAGCCAGUCAGAAACAGAAAUGCAACAGCCAGGGGCUUGGGACUGGCAUCUCCUGUGGGAGGGGCUGAGCCUUCCAUCUAUGGCAUGGCCUCCUCAUUCAAGGCGGAGAGUAUCAGAUCUGAACUGAGUCAGAGGACAGUUCACUACCACUGACGCUUUCUGAAAGGGAGGCAUACCCACCCCUUCUGAGCUCGCAGAAAUCUUCUGUGUGGUUGUAGUGUGGAAGCCAGGGAGGCAGGGGGGAAGCAGGGGAAGGCAGUCUGGUUUUGUUUAUAUGACAGGUAGGUAGAAGAUGUAGAUGUAUGCACUAUGUGUUUAUAAUGCAUGUAGGUGUACACUGUGAAUUAUAAAAACACUGAUGAAAGCCAUUAAACUAGAAUAAGAAGAAUGGGCCAUGGUCAUAGUUGGGAAAAAUGAAAACUAUUCAAAUACCUACACUAUGGGCCGGAGAGAUGGCUCAGCAGUUAAAGAGCACCGACUGCUCUUCCAGAGGUCCUGAGUUCAAUUCCCAGCAACCACAUGGUGGCUUACAACCAUCUGUAAUGGGACCCCAGGCCCUCUUCUGGUGUGUCUGAAGACAGCAAGAGUGUUCUCAUACAUAAGAUAAAUAAAUCAUUAAAAAAAAAAAAAAACCUACACUACUCAUUACAGUUUGAACCUUAAAUUUCCCCGAAAGGCCUGUGUAUUGAAGGCUUGGAUUUCAGGGUGUCACUGGGAGGUGGCUGAACCUCUGCGAAGUAAGACCUUACGGGAGGAAGACCCUUGGAGGGGGUUCUGCAGACAUUGGUUCCUUUUCUGUUCUUCUGCUCUUGAGCUCUUGGCAUAAGUAGUUUCACUCGGCCGCAUGUUCCUGCCACAAUGUACUGCUUGGUACAGGCCAAGAGCAAUGGAGCCAAUUGAUAUUAGAUUGGCACCUUAAAAAUAAGGACCCCCGAAUAUACUUCUCCAUAACUCAGUCAUCUUGGACAUUUCAUUAUUGCAGGAAAAAAAAUGUACACAUUACUCAAAGACAGUCUAAAUGUUGAAUGCAACCCCUAUAAAAAUUGAAUGGCCUUUUCUCACAUCACUCGGAUUCAUAUGGAAGGCCCGUGUAGUAAUAUCAACCUUGGACAAAAAGAAUAGAACUAAAUUUAAGUUUUAUACUCACUGAUUCCAAAUUAUAUUACAAAACACAGGUAAGUGGAAUAGAAUGGAGAGCCCAGAAAUAAACCUGUAACUGGCUAAACAACUCACUUUCAGCGGGGGUGCCAGGAAUGCCUGAGGGAUGGGGCGUGGGGAGGGUGAAAAGGAUGGUACUUUAGUUCAUAGCAGAGCAACACAGAAUAUACACAUGAAAACAAAUAAAAAUGAGUGCUCCUACUGCACACAAAACUCAGCAUGAAUUAAAAACCUAAACAUAAGAUGUGUAACCACAAAAGUCCAAGGAAAUUUAUGAGAAAAAGCUCUCUCUGUCUUUGGUUAACUGCAACUUAAGGAACUUCUAUUACUUGAAAGGGAGAGAGGGAGGGAGAGAAAGAGACAGAGACAGGGACGCCUGUCUUGGAAAAUCAAGAAAGUAACUAAAUAAGACUUUCGUC
rnacentral:lncRNA from 1 species